UGGGGAAUUUUGGACGAAUUGGGCGAAAGCCUGAAUCCAGCAAUGCCGCGUGUGUGAAGAAGGCCUUCGGGUUGUAAAGCACUUUUGUCCGGAAAGAAAUCCUUGGCUCUAAUACAGUCGGGGGAUGACGGUACCGGAAGAAUAAGCACCGGCUAACUACGUGCCAGCAGCCGCGGUAAUACGUAGGGUGCAAGCGUUAAUCGGAAUUACUGGGCGUAAAGCGUGCGCAGGCGGUUUGCUAAGACCGAUGUGAAAUCCCCGGGCUCAACCUGGGAACUGCAUUGGUGACUGGCAGGCUAGAGUAUGGCAGAGGGGGGUAGAAUUCCACGUGUAGCAGUGAAAUGCGUAGAGAUGUGGAGGAAUACCGAUGGCGAAGGCA
rnacentral:rRNA from 1 species